UCAAAAACGGAUGAGUAGACAAAACACUUUCUUGCCUUAUGAUUCCAGAAAAACAAGAACAGAACAAAACUCCCAGACUCAGAAUUUUGCUUUGGGCACUUAAAGCAAGUUGGCUUCUCCACUCCAAGGAAAGGCAAGAUGCCAGCCAAGCUGUCUUCUUCCCACGAUCAAUAACCCCAGUGACGCAACCUAUCAAGGGCCCCUGCACUUGCACAAAAUGCCAGCUCAGGCACCCAAUACCACCUGAUGUCAUGGCUGAUUUAAAACCCACAAGGCAGGUUCACCAUUAGCUAAGCAGCAGCAGCCAGGUGCUGACAACUUCCUGAAGACAGAAGAGGCCACAUGAGGGACAGAUAGCCUAGAGACCUGAUUGAUAAGCUGCAGACCAUCUCCGGCUUUGCUGAAUGACUUUGGGCAGCCUCUUUGCCUUCCCGGGCUUCCAUUUCUCUCUCCACAAAAUGGGAAGCAUAAUACCUGCCUCUCUGGCUUAUCAAGGUGAAGAAAGGAUGGCUACUAUCAAAAAAGGAUGGAAGGAAGGAAGGAAGGAAGGAAGGAAGGAAGGAAGGAAGGAAGGAAGGAAAACAAGUGUCGGUGAAGGUGUGGAGAAACUGAAACCCUUGUACACUGCUGGUGGGAAUGUGAAAUAGUUCACUUACUAUUAUUAAUUUCAAAAAAUUAAAAAUAGAACUACUAUAUGAUCCAGCAAUCCUACUUUUGUGUAUAUAUUCCCAAAGGAAUUGAAAGCAGGGUCUCAAAGAGAUAUUUAUACACACACACACACACACACACACACACAUAUAUAUAUACACCAUGGGUAUAUACACCCAUGGCCAUAGCAGCAUUAUUCAAAAUAGCCAAGAAGUGGAAACAACCCACAUGUCCAUCAAUGGAUGAAUGGAUAAACAAAUGUGAUGUUUACCUACAAAAGAAUAUUAUUCAGCCUUAAAAAGGGAGACAAUUCUGGGGCGCCUGAGUGGCUUGGUCAGUUAAGCGUCCAACUUCGGCUCAGGUCAUGAUCUCACGGUUCGUGAGUUCGGGCCCCAAGUCAAGCUCUGUGCUGACAGCUCGGAGUCUGGAGCCUGAUUCAGAUUCUGUGUCUCUCUCACUGUCUGCCCCUCCCCCGCUCCUGCUCUGUCUCUUUCUCAAAAAUAAACAUUAAAAAAAAUUUUUUAAAAAGAAAUUCUGCCACAUGCUACAACAUGGAUGCACCUUGAAGUCACUAUGCUACAUGAAGUAAGCCAGGCACCAAACAACAGAUACUGUGUGAUACCGCUUAUAAUGAGGCAUCUAAACUAGUCAAAGUCUAUCAAAUCCAUUGGCUGGCUCAGUCAACAGAGCAUGCAAUUCCCGACCUCGGGGUUUUACAUUAAAAAAAAAUAAUGAGGUAGUCAACAGAAAGUAGAAUGGUGGUUACCAGGGACUGGGGAAAAACAGGGAGGGGGGAGCUAUUUCAUGGGCAUAGAGUUUUAGAUUUGCGAAAUGGAAAAGCUCUGGAGAUGUGUUUUACAACAAUAUCAAUAGAUGUAUAACACUACUGAACUGGACACUUCAAAGUGGUAAAUUUUAUGUUAGAUGUUUUUUUAUUACAACAACAAAAAACAAACAAGAAACCGAUACAUUUGCCUGUAGACCUUCCUUUACUCACUGAAAAAUAGUGGUUAUAAAACAGCCUGUUCAGUAUGAUCCUAUUUUUGUCAAAUAUCCUUUUCCACUUUAAUAUAUACAUUAUCAUUAGAAUACACACUGGAAGAUGAACAAUAGGCUAUUUCUGAGUCCUGAUUUUGUUUUUUCUACCAUUUGUAUUUUCUAACUUUUUUUAAAAAUUUUUUAAAUGU